AUGAACGCUGGCGGCGUGCUUAACACAUGCAAGUCGCACGAGAACACCUCAGCUUGCUGGGGUAAGUAAAGUGGCGCACGGGUGAGUAACGCGUGGGUAAUCUGCCCUCGAAUCUGGGAUAACCCCGCGAAAGCGGGGCUAAUACCGGAUGAAAUCCAGUUAGCUUUGGCUAUAUGGAUCAAAGGUGGCCUCUGCAUGCAAGCUACUGUUUGGGGAUGAGCCCGCGUACCAUUAGCUUGUUGGUGGGGUAAAGGCCCACCAAGGCGACGAUGGUUAGCUGGUCUGAGAGGAUGAUCAGCCACACUGGAACUGGAACACGGUCCAGACUCCUACGGGAGGCAGCAGUGAGGAAUUUUGCGCAAUGGGGGUAACCCUAACGCAGCAACGCCGCGUGAGUGAUGAAGGCCUUCGGGUCGUAAAGCUCUGUCAAGUGGGAAGAACCCAUUCCGGCACAACAAGCCGGGGUGCUGACGGUACCACUGAAGGAAGCACCGGCUAACUCCGUGCCAGCAGCCGCGGUAAUACGGAGGGUGCGGGCGUUAUUCGGAAUUACUGGGCGUAAAGGGCGCGUAGGCGGCCGAUUAAGUCAGAUGUGAAAUCCCGGGGCUUACCCCCGGAAGUGCAUUUGAUACUGAACGGCUUGAGUAUGGGAGAGGGAAGUGGAAUUCCUGGUGUAGCGGUGAAAUGCGUAGAUCUCAGGAGGAACACCGGUGGCGAAGGCGACUUCCUGGACCAAUACUGACGCUGAGGCCGCGAAGGCGUGGGGAGCAAACAGGAUUAGAUACCCUGGUAGUCCACGCAGUAAACGGUGAUCACUAGGUGUAGCGGGUAUUGACCCCUGCUGUGCCGGAGUUAACGCAUUAAGUGAUCCGCCUGGGGAGUACGGCCGCAAGGUUAAAACUUCAAGGACUUGACGGGGGCCCGCACAAGCGGUGGAGCUAUGUGGUNUAAUUCGACGCAACGCGAAGAACCUUACCUGGAUUUGACAUCUCGGGAAUCCCGCGGAAACGCGGGAGUGC
rnacentral:rRNA from 1 species